rnacentral:ncRNA from 2 species
CGGCCCGCACGUGACUGGCGCUCAGAUGGCUACCAUCGGGGAGCGUGGGGGAGUUCGCCGCGCGCCUGGGCAUUGCAU